AACGCGGGAAAUCUUACCGGGUCCGGACACAUGAGGAUUGACAGACAAACAAUUUAUAUUGUUACAAAGAUGCUAGUUCUUUCAUGAUUAUGUGAUAGGUGGUGCAUGGCCGUUCUUAGUUCGUGGAGUGAUCUGUCUGCUUAAUUGCGUUUCAAUAUUUAAAUAUGUAUACGUAUGACCCAAUAACUAUGUUGUUGUGUGUCUAGUAUUACUAUCAUUUGAAAGCAACGAACGUGACCGUAUCCUUUUAUUAUAUACACACAUGUAUAUUGUUUUUAAAGGGACCGCUGUUUCUUUCUUUUAAACCAGAGGAAGGAUACGGCAAUAACAGGUCUGUGAUGCCCUUUGAUGUUCCGGGCUGCACACGUGCUACAAUGAUCAUUUCAUUAAGUAUCUUAUAUGUGUGUAGUUCUAAUACUACGAUCCUACCCUGAGAAUGGGCGGGUAAUCAAUUAGAAGUAAUGAUUUCCUUUUUUUUAUACGCAACCAUGUACCGUUAUAUUACAUCCCAUAUACUUUUUCGUAUAUGCGUGUGUGUUUUAUUAUUCGUUUGUACGCGUAACUGUUAAUUCAUGGUGGGGAUAGACCAUUGUUAAUUGUUGGUCUCGGUCUUAACUAGGAAUGCCUUGUACGGGUCAGUGGUUCAACAAACCACCCGGAAUACGUCCCUGCC
rnacentral:rRNA from 1 species